GAGUAUUUAUCAUCCUCCCAUAUACCUAUGAAUCUUGCCUAUAAAAAAUGAAUGGCUUUAAUUGAUUGAUAGGCUUUGAUACGAGCACAUGUCGGUCAGGUGCAGCGGCAAAGGUUUUGAUUCCUCCAGGCAAUUUCAUGGCGUCAGAAGUUGUGUUUGCACCGCUACAAAACCCAUCAUUCUUGAAAUCCAAGGCACUCUCCUCGCCAAUACUCAUCUCAGCUCCUAUUCACAAGGUGCUUGGAUCUCCAUCGACAGAGUCGCCGGCCUCCUCCUCACUGGAAAAUCCGUUUGGAAAUACGGCACCGACAGCGACCUCCCUCUUCUCCCCGUCGUAUUUUUUUCAAUUUGGUCCGUUCCGUUCAUAAAAAUUAGGCAUAAACAAACUACUAAUCGUUAUUUAUUAAUAACAGGGUAAAGUCAGUGGAAAAUGCGAAGGUUGAUGGUUUGAAAGUAGUAAACAGCAUGGGUUUCCAUUUAGAGGUUAAAACAUAGAUAUAAGCAAAGUGGGUAUACAGCCCCUUCACCCACGGAAUCCACCUCACCAAUUCUACAAAUGUUAAGAUAACUGACUCCGUCAUCGGAACUGGAGACGACUGUGUUUCCAUUGGCUAACCAUGUGGCCCCAGUCACGGUCUCAGGUAACCCUAGCUUGUUACUAUUUUAUUAGCAGGAUCGCACUCCACCAAACCUAUCUUAUAAGCAUACAAAAUUAUUACUUAGCAAGUUAGCAAUUCGAAAAUUUUUAAAAAUUGAGGACACCGAGAAAAAUGCCCUUAGGUUGAGGGCACAAUUGUCUACUACACCAUAAUCUUUUAUUUUUCUAAGACGCUUUCGUUUGCAUUCCUUAAUUUUAGUUGAAAUGCAAAGAUUGAAAACAUUUUUUAAAGUGUAGGUGAUGUAUUUGAAAACACACAUUAACAUCUUUAUUAACUAAAAAUGUCCUUAUUUUUGUAAUCUCGAAUCUAUUUUAUUGAAAUUAGUAUGAUAAUUCAAAGGUGUUGAGUAUCGGUGGCGCACACUCAAACUCCACAUUAGUAUGAUAUUGUCCGCUUUGGGCUGUACUCCCCAAAAAACCUCAUACUAAUGGAGUUGGGGUAGCCCUUAUAUAUGCUUGCAACUCUUGUUCAUUCGGGAAUUGUUUGCCCUCACAAAAGCAAUCAAGCGUGAGGCUGAGCGAUAUUCACUUCAGAGACAUAAGCGGCACGUCGAUUUCUCCAAUAUCAAUAAAUUUGAACUGCAGUUCGCGAGUCCCAUGUGAAAAGGCCAAAUCAUUCCUUCCAUGCCAGACCGAUGCUCUUGAAUCUCAUCUCCACACUCUUUACCUCGACGCUAAUUUCAUAUUCGUUUAAUUCUGAUUAUAUGUAAAUUGAAGAAAAAAGCACUGUGUACUAUGUGCGUGCACUACUUGUUCUUGCCCCAAGUUUACAUAGUUUCAGAAAUAAUUUGUAAUCAGGGGCGGACACACUAGGAAAGAGGGUAGGGCUUAAGCCCUUACCCAAUUUUUCAUUUUUCUGUAUUUCCUACUUCCAUAUUUUUCAAAAUUCUGAAAAAUGAUGUUAAGCCCUUACCAAA